CAACAAAAUAGCAAAAAAUAAGCUGGAUGGACCAUGGACAGGUGCACUGGAAAGGUUUUGUUUCUUGAUGGAGUGGGCGGUGGAAUACAUUAUAUAUUUUUUCGUAUAGCAUAUUUCCAGGCUCUACUUGGGUUGUCCGCUUGUUUGAUGUUAGUGACGUUAUUGUUCGCACUGUUCCUUAAAGUUUUGACUUUCUCCAUCGUUGGUGGCAUCUUUCGGUCCCUAACUUUUUUGAAGCGCGAGCAUCUUGCCGGAGGACUGUUGUAUCUUUUUCGUAUGCUCGUUGUGCCAGUGCGGUGUUGAGGC
rnacentral:lncRNA from 1 species